rnacentral:rRNA from 1 species
GCCUUUUGUUUAUAUAAAAGUCGGGCCUGCCCAGUGAAAUUAUUAAACGGCCGCGGUAUAUUGACUGUGCAAAGGUAGCAUAAUCAUUAGUUUUUUAAUAGGAGGCUGGAAUGAAAGGUUUAACGAAGUAUAAACUAUCUUAUUUUUAAGUUUAUAAUUUAAUUUUUUAGUUAAAAAGCUUAAAUUUUAUUGGUGGACGAGAAGACCCUAUAGAGCUUUACAUUAAUUAUUUUAAUGUGGUUUUGUUAAUAUUUUAAUUAUUAUUUUAAUUAUUGUUUUGUUGGGGUGAUGAAUAAUAUUUAAUUAACUUUAAUUAUUUUAUAUACAUGAUUGUGUGAUUAUUUGAUCCAUUAAUAUUGAUUAUUAGAUUAAGUUACCUUAGGGAUAACAGCGUAAUCUUCUUUAAGAGAUCAAAUCUACAAGAAGGCUUGCGACCUCGAUGUUGGAUUAAGAUUAUAAUUAGGUGCAGUAGCUUAAUUAAUAGGU